AGGGUUCGAUUCCGGAGAAGGAGCCUGAGAAACGGCUACUAUUUCUAAGGAAGGCAGCAGGCGCGUAAAUUACCCAAUCCUGACUCAGGGAGGUAGUUAAUAGAAAUAACUUGAUCGGCUCAUUGAGUAUUGAUCGUGUAAUGAACCAAAUGUAGAAACAUUGGUGAAUCCUAUUGGAGGGCAAGUCUGGUGCCAGCAGC
rnacentral:rRNA from 1 species